rnacentral:rRNA from 1 species
AUUGAACGCUGGCGGCAGGCCUAACACAUGCAAGUCGAACGAGUGGCGGAAGGGUGAGUAAUGUCUGGGAAACUGCCUGAUGGAGGGGGACAACUACUGGAAACGGUAGCUAAUACCGCAUACCAUCGGAUGUGCCCAGAUGGGAUUGGCUAGUAGGUGGGGUAAAGGCUCACCUAGGCGAUGAUCCGUAGCUGGUCUGAGAGGAUGACCAGCCACACUGGAACGGAGACACGGCCCGGACUCCUACGGGAGGCAGCCGAGGGGAUUAUUGGACAAUGGGGGCAAGCUUGAUGCAGCCAUGCGGCGUGUAGGAAGAAGGCCUUCGGGUUGUAAAGUACGUUCAGCGGGGAGGCGUUACCCGCAGAAGAAGCACCGGCUAACUCCGUGCCAGCAGCCGCGGUAAUAC